GGUCCCAUGGUGUAAUGGUCAGCACUCAGGACUCUGAAUCCUGCAAUCUGAGUUCAAAUCUCAAUGGGACCU
rnacentral:tRNA from 1 species